CCUACGGGGGGCAGCAGUAGGGAAUAUUCCGCAAUGGGCGAAAGCCUGACGGAGCAACGCCGCGUGAGUGAAGAAGGUUUUCGGAUCGUAAAGCUCUGUCAACAGGGACGAAACAAGACGGUACCUGAGAAGGAAGCCACGGCAAACUACGUGCCAGCAGCCGCGGUAAUACGUAGGUGGCAAGCGUUGUCCGGAAUAACUGGGCGUAAAGCGCAUGUAGACGGCAUGAUAAGCCAAAUGUGAAAUGUAGGGGCUCAACCCCUGCACUGCGAUUGGAACUGUCAAGCUUGAGUGCAGGAGAGGCAAAUGGAAUUCCCAGUGUAGCAGUGAAAUGCGUAGAGAUUGGGAGGAACACCAGUGGCGAAGGCGAUUUGCUGGACUGCAACUGACGUUGAGAUGCGAAAGCUAGGGGAGCAAACGGGAUUAGAUACCCCAGUAGUC
rnacentral:rRNA from 2 species